GACGAACGCUGGCGGCGUGCUUAACACAUGCAAGUCGAACGGAAAGGCCCUGCUUUUGUGGGGUGCUCGAGUGGCGAACGGGUGAGUAACACGUGAGUAACCUGCCCUUGACUUUGGGAUAACUUCAGGAAACUGGGGCUAAUACCGGAUAGGAGCUCCUGCUGCAUGGUGGGGGUUGGAAAGUUUCGGCGGUUGGGGAUGGACUCGCGGCUUAUCAGCUUGUUGGUGGGGUAGUGGCUUACCAAGGCUUUGACGGGUAGCCGGCCUGAGAGGGUGACCGGCCACAGUGGGACUGAGAUAGGGGCCAGACUCCUACGGGAGGAAGCAGUGGGAAAUAGUGCACAAUGGGCGGAAGCCUGAUGCAGCAACGCCGCGUGCGGGAUGACGGCCGUCGGGUUGUAAACCGCUUUCGCCUGUGACGAAGCGUGAGUGACGGUAAUGGGUAAAGAAGCACCGGCUAACUACGUG
rnacentral:rRNA from 1 species